rnacentral:rRNA from 1 species
UACGAAGGGGGGCUAGUCGUUGUUCGGAAUUACUGGGCGUAAAGCGCACGUAGGCGGAUUGUUAAGUCGGGGGUGAAAUCCUGAGCUCAACCUCAGAACUGCCUUCGAUACUGGCAAUCUCGAGUCCGGAAGAGGUUGGUGGAACAGCUAGUGUAGAGGUGAAAUUCGUAGAUAUUCGACAAGAACACCAGUGGCGAAGGCGGCUCACUGGCCCGGUACUGACGCUGAGGUGCGAAAGCGUGGGGAGCAAACAGG